CAUCCCUUGACAUCCAGUGAACUUUCUAGAGAUAGAUUGGUGCCUUCGGGAACACUGAGACAGGUGCUGCAUGGCUGUCGUCAGCUCGUGUUGUGAGAUGUUGGGUUAAGUCCCGCAACGAGCGCAACCCUUAUCCUCAGUUGCCAGCACGUAAUGGUGGGAACUCUGUGGAGACUGCCGGUGAUAAACCGGAGGAAGGUGGGGACGACGUCAAGUCAUCAUGGCCCUUACGGGAUGGGCUACACACGUGCUACAAUGGCGCGUACAAUGGGAAGCAAGCUAGCGAUAGCAAGCGGAUCUCAAAAAGCGCGUCGUAGUCCGGAUUGGAGUCUGCAACUCGACUCCAUGAAGUCGGAAUCGCUAGUAAUCGUGGAUCAGAAUGCCACGGUGAAUACGUUCCC
rnacentral:rRNA from 1 species